GGAGGGGUAGCGUAAUUGGUAACGCAGCGGUCUUGAAAACCGCCGCCCUAAAGGCUUGCAGGUUCGAGUCCUGUCCCCUCCGCCA
rnacentral:tRNA from 2 species